CCUACGUGGUGCUGCAGUGGGGGAUAUUGCACAAUGGGCGAAAGCCUGACGCAGCGACGCCGCGUGAGGGAUGAAGGUCUUCGGAUCGUAAACCUCUGUCAGCAGGGAAGAACGGUCACUGUGCUAAUCAGCAGUGAAUUGACGGUACCUGCAAAGGAAGCACCGGCUAACUCCGUGCCAGCAGCCGCGGUAAUACGGAGGGUGCGAGCGUUAAUCGGAAUUACUGGGCGUAAAGCGCUCGUAGGCGGUAUGUCAAGUCAAGGGUGAAAUCCCCGCGCUCAACGUGGGAACUGCCUUUGAAACUGGCAAACUGGAGUGUGUGAGAGGAUAGUGGAAUUCCAGGUGUAGGAGUGAAAUCCGUAGAUAUCUGGAGGAACAUCAGUGGCGAAGGCGACUAUCUGGCACAUAACUGACGCUGAGGAGCGAAAGCGUGGGUAGCAAACAGGAUUAGAUACCCCAGUAGUC
rnacentral:rRNA from 1 species